rnacentral:rRNA from 1 species
AGAGCGAACGCUGGCGGCGUGCUUAACACAUGCAAGUCGAGUGCGCAGUUUUCUGUAGCAAUACAGGAAACCGGCGCACGGCGCACGGGUGCGUAACACGUGGGUAACCUGCCCUCCAAAGGGGGAUAACCCCGCGAAAGCGGGGCUAAUACCGCAUGACAUUCCAGAGACAUCGGUUUUUGGAAUCAAAGCUCGAAAGGGCGUUGGAGGAGGGGCCCGCGGCCGAUUAGCUUGUUGGCGAGGUAAUGGCUCACCAAGGCUUUGAUCGGUAGCCGGUCUGAGAGGAUGGCCGGCCACACUGGAACUGAGACACGGUCCAGACUCCUACGGGAGGCAGCAGUGGGGAAUCUUGCGCAAUGGGCGAAAGCCUGACGCAGCGACGCCGCGUGGGGGAUGAAGCUUUUCGGAGUGUAAACCCCUUUCGACCCGGACGAAACGCCCGUAAGGGCUUGACGGUACGGGUAUAAGAAGCCCGGCUAACUACGUGCCAGCAGCCGC